GGGGGUGUAGUUCAAUGGCAGAAUAGAGGUCUCCAAAACCUUUGAUCAGGGUUCGACUCCUUGCACCCCCG
rnacentral:tRNA from 1 species